ACUCAAAUGAAUUGACGGGGACUUGCACAAGCGGUGGAUUAUGCGGUUCAAUUCGAUGACAAACGAAAAACCUUACCAAGGCUAGAAAUCUAGGGGAAGAAUAUGGAAACAUAAACGUCCGCAAGGACUCCUAGACAGGUGAUGCAUGGCCGUCGUCAGUUCGUGGUUUAAGCUGUUCCCUUAAGUGGGGUAACGAACGCAACCCUUGUCGUGCGUUAUAUAUGUCGCACGAGACCACCCAGCAUUUUGUCCAUAGACAAUUGUGGCCAGAAUGCUGGGAGGAAGCGAGGAUGACGCCAGGUCAGCAUGUCCCUCUGACGCCUUGGGCUACACGCAUAAUACAAUCGCCACUACAGUGUGUCGCAAUGGGGCAACCCGGAGCUAAUCAUCAAAGGUGGCGCCAGUUCGGAUUGGGGGCUGCAACUCGACCCCAUGAAGUUGGAAUCGCUAGUAAUCGCAGGUCAGCUAUACUGCGGUGAAUACGUUCUCAAGUCUUGUACACACCGCCCGU
rnacentral:rRNA from 1 species